rnacentral:tRNA from 1 species
GGGAACGUGGCUCUGUGGUAGAGUACUUGCCUUGCAUGCAUGAGGCCCUGGGUUCGAUUCCUCAGCACCA